AAGAGAAUGCAUCACAGUCAUAGAGGUGGGGUUAUUGUUACUAUUUUCAGUGAAGCUUGAGAGGGGGGCUCUGCGAGGCAGGGACGUUGCCCAGCACCAGGGCAGCUGCGGCCUUCCAGGCCACACAACUGGCAAGCACUGGUGCUGCUUCUCUAGCAAAUCACUGGUCCAAAAAGAGCGCAAUUAACUGCACAAACCAAGAAUUGAAACCGUAAAAAACCUCCACAUCUGUCAUAGUCAAUAUCCUGGCAUAUCUGGAGUGGAAUCAGAGUUAUGAAAAUGGACAUGACAAGGGAAAAACUGUAUGUUCUUUUGGUCUAACGCAGGACCUAUUUAUUCCUACCCUCCACCUGUCUAAAUUUAAAUCUCCUUAGCAACAAAUAUUUCACUAUCUUCCCUCCCACCACCUCCAAAGACUAAAUACAUAAUCUAGUUGAUCUAUUUAUUAAAUUUAGGAGGAGAAAAAAAAAAAGGUUUCCUUGACAUUCAGCUCAAUUGGAUGUGUUUUAAUUUAAUCCCAUCAUGUGUUAUGUCUUGGUAAACACUCCGUUUCCUGUCACAGUGGGCAUCUCGGCUGAGCACCUGUGCAGUACACUUUAAUCAUCGAGCUUUCAAAGUGCUCUGGAGCUAUCAAAUCUUGGAAGGGUCCUGUCUUGCAUCUUAAUAAUUAUUUAUCCAAGUUCUUUAUAAUUAACUCCUUUAAUCUCUACUCAUUAAAUCAAUUUCAUAUUAUUCUGUUGUUCUCUGGAUGGCAGCCAAUUUUUGAGCUCUUGAAUCUGAUUUUUCCAAGGCUCAUCUUUCCAUCUAGCUCUGCACAUAUUUGUCCUAAGUAAAUCACCAGCCCUUAAACACUUCUGAGUCCCUCUUUUUCACUGCUUGUCUCCUUCUCUCUUUAGAAUGUUUGCUUUCCUGGUAGAAUGUGACUUUAUUUCCUUUUCAUCUUAUCUCCUCAUGCCCAUUGGUAUUUCAUAGUCUUUUCAGGCUUCAAAUUAUAGAAGAGGUGGCAAUGAUUUCACUUUUAAACAUUAAAAUGGCCAUAGCCGCAGCAUAUUGGGGAUAGCUUUAUUUGGGGGGGUCUUUAAUUUUAUUGGAAGAAAGCCCAAAAUGACAUAUGAAAAUAAUAUGAAACCACUAAGCAGAUGUCCAGCAAUACAGAAAUAGACUUCGCAUGUUAUAUUUCACACUCCGACUCUCUUGUCUUAGUGUCUCAGGAUCCAAUUUCUUAUAUUUAAACCAGUCUCCUUACCUCUUGCAAGGAAAUUAUCAGCCAUAUACUGAAUUCUCACUCACUUAACUUUCUGGGUGUCUGAGGUUGGAAUCCUGAAGUCAUGCACCUUUCAGAUCCAGAUGAGAGCAAGUGGUAAAACCUGAGCCCCAACUCUGGGGUGCUCUAGGGUUUUAGUUCACACACAUGAGCCAGACUAAACAUGACCUGGUGGGGAAAAAAAUAGGUAAUAAGCUGCUUGUUUGAGGUAGCAGUUCAAGGACUUUCCAGGUUCCAUUUCAUCGAGGAAAUGAAAGUAAUUGAUCAGCCGAAACAGAGCAGCAAGAAGUAAUGGCUGAUCCUCCCCGAAGUGGCUGGGAGCAAGCCUUCAAUGGUACCUCAUUCUUGAAAAACGUUAUCAACCAAAUACUCUGUUAAGUUCCUGAGUAUUUUUUAACUGAGAUUUCAAACCACAUCAAGUAUUCAAAGAUUGCUUCACAUCAAGGGAAAAUAUAUAAACCAUGACUGCAGAAGGCAAGCGAAAUAAUGCAAAGAAGAAAAAUCAUUGAACAAGGGCAUCUAAAAGGUCAUCAUUCUCACAGAAAGAGGACAUGGUAUCCCUGCUGUGUGUCCAGACUGUCCUUCAGGAACCUCAUAGGCCUAUUAUCCUUAUGAACCCUUAUGGGGGUUCAUUUUGACUAUGUUGGCCAGAUGAUUCAGCUGAUUAAGCAAUUGAAUUGACUCAUACAGUUUUGUGAAUUGACCAGGUGUUUGAUGAAAUUGAGUUUGGAAUUCUGAACACACUCCCUUGGAGUCUUGCAGUGGAUGGUGCCUUUGAAAAUAUUUGGCCGUUUUACUUAAAACGCAUGGUAACAUUUAAUGCAGCCAUGAUAAUAGCAAAAAUCUGUUCUGUUCUAAAAAUGUUUCUAGCAAUGGAAAUAUUUCUGACUAAAAGAAUACUCUUGUCUGGUAGGGAGGCUCCCUAGGAAUAAAUGUAUGCAACAAAAAUAAGUCACUUUAUUUUUUUUUUAAGGUUGUCUAUAUAGAUACAUUCAUGAAAUAAGAAAAUUGUUGGUGAACACUCCUAAAAUAGGGGUUUAUGUAAUGGAAAUAAAAGGCUUUAUUAACAGAUUUACCAAAGAUUAUUUUUAUAAUCUAUAUGCCAAUGUACAUGAUCUUAUAUAAAAUACCAAAUACAUUGUUGAAAAUGGUGAAUAAUGUCAGACAAGUGUAAAACUGUGUUCCUUCUAGAAUAUUCACAAGAAAGGUUAGUUAUGGCUGUUUCCUCCUGACUUAAGUAACAUCUAUUAAGAAAAACUAUCUUCAUUCUAAGAGCAAGCUUUCUGUUACAUUUGAGAGUUUGUGUUUUCAUAGCUGAGUGAGCAGAUAGGCACCCCACCAAGAAAAAAGCAGAUGCAGUUGUGGCUUGAGGAGUGGGAGCUGGAUGGUGUUCCACCUGCGAGCUAGUGGGAGAGUCGACAGUGGCCUUUGUGAAAUCUCAUCUCAGCCACACUAACAACCGAGUACCCAUGUUCUCAGCUGAAGAGUCCUAAAUCUUCCAGGUGGGACCAGCUUAUAAAUCCUGCAAGGACAAGGACCAAGUCUUUAAGCUCUUCUCUACUCCAACCUUACAGAGAUGCGUACACAGCUCGCAGCCAUUCAAUAUGUCAUUUUUGGGUGGAAAUUGUUCCUGGUCCAAUACUUUGGGUGUUAGGUAGUCAGUGUCUAAUAAUACUGUUGUCCAUGAAGGUUUAUAUGACUAUUUCUUGUUUUGUGUGAUGCUUAAAUAAAAAAUGUAAAUAAAUCUAGCCACUGAACUUAUUAUGUUCUAUAAUAGAGCUCUUUGAAGUGUGUAAUAUCAUGUAUUCUUUCUUUGUAAAUCUGGUUAUUUAAAAUGGCAGUAGAUGAUUCUCUUUCUUUCUCACUAUAGCACCUCCUUACAAUAUUGUGUUUCUAACCAACCCCAAAUGAAGAGAGAACUUCUUUAGUCUUCUAUUUAAAUUACGUAUGUGCUUAAUAUAUUUUCACAUUUGCAACCAUGGUCAAAAAAAUCUGUAUAGUGUCUUACACACCUUCUCCCUAGUACAGGAAUAAAACUGCUGU
rnacentral:lncRNA from 1 species